rnacentral:rRNA from 1 species
GACGAACGCUGGCGGCGUGCUUAACACAUGCAAGUCGAACGGAAAGGCCCUGCUUUUGUGGGGUGCUCGAGUGGCGAACGGGUGAGUAACACGUGAGUAACCUGCCCUUGACUUUGGGAUAACUUCAGGAAACUGGGGCUAAUACCGGAUAGGAGCUCCUGCUGCAUGGUGGGGGUUGGAAAGUUUCGGCGGUUGGGGAUGGACGCGCGGCUUAUCAGCUUGUUGGUGGGGUAGUGGCUUACCAAGGCUUUGACGGGUAGCCGGCCUGGGAGGGUGACCGGCCACAUUGGGACUGCGAUACGGCCCAGACUCCUACGGGAGGCAGCAGUGGGGAAUAUUGCACAAUGGGCGGAAGCCUGAUGCAGCAACGCCGCGUGCGGGAUGACGGCCUUCGGGUUGUAAACCGCUUUCGCCUGUGACGAAGCGUGAGUGACGGUAAUGGGUAAAGAAGCACCGGCUAACUACGUG